rnacentral:rRNA from 1 species
CCUACGGGGGGCUGCAGUGGGGAAUAUUGGACAAUGGGGGCAACCCUGAUCCAGCCAUGCCGCGUGUGUGAAGAAGGCCCUCGGGUUGUAAAGCACUUUCAGUGAGGAAGAACGCCUGGUGGUUAAUACCCAUCAGGAAAGACAUCACUCACAGAAGAAGCACCGGCUAACUCCGUGCCAGCAGCCGCGGUAAUACGGAGGGUGCGAGCGUUAAUCGGAAUUACUUGGCGUAAAGCGCGCGUAGGUGGCUUGAUAAGCCGGUUGUGAAAGCCCCGGGCUCAACCUGGGAACGGCAUCCGGAACUGUCAAGCUAGAGUGCAGGAGAGGAAGGUAGAAUUCCCGGUGUAGCGGUGAAAUGCGUAGAGAUCGGGAGGAAUACCAGUGGCGAAGGCGGCCUUCUGGACUGACACUGACACUGAGGUGCGAAAGCGUGGGUAGCAAACAGGAUUAGAUACCCCAGUAGUC